CCAGGGGACCGGGCGACCGCGGCUUUCGCGCAAGCGAGGGGCGAGGAAAGUCCGGGCUCCACGGAACGACGGUGCCGGGUAACGCCCGGCGGUCCUUCGCAAGAGGGGUCAGGGACAGUGCCACAGAAAGCAAACCGCCGGCUUUCGGGUCGGUAAGGGCGAAAGGGUGCGGCAAGAGCGCACCGCGCGGCUGGCAACAGGCGCGGCAUGGUAAACCCCACCGGGUGCAAGACCGAAUAGGGGCGUCAUUGGGCUUCGGUCCUGGGGGCUGUUCCGCCUCGACGCCCGGGUUGGUUGCUUGAGCGGCGAAGCAAUUCGUCGCCUAGAGGAAUGGUCGCCCAGGCACCGAAAGGUGCUGGACAGAACCCGGCUUACAGGUCCCCUGGCACU
rnacentral:RNase_P_RNA from 1 species